UGGUGCUAUUUUAGCCUUUAAUUUGUGGCUUGAUGUUAAGUUUUUUUUUUUGGCACUGGAAUAAGUUUUCCGGCGACUAAUUUUAAGGUUAUUUUGUUUCAAAUUUUGGAGUACUUGUGCUUUACAUAUCUAAAGUAUAAUAAUUUAACAGACAAUUGAGAUAGAUAAAAUGAUGGAUUCACGAGUAAUGUAUUUAUACGCCGACUCAAAAUUUCCUGGUACAUAUUAAGGUUUUUCUUUUUCAUUUUGUUUGGCUAGUAGAAAUUUUUUCUCGUUUAAGUUACAGUAGGAAUUAAUUUGUAGAGGAUGAAGGUUGGGGGUGAAAGAGGAGAGAAUGGAAGAACUUGGGUUGUAUUCCUAAUUGGAUUAGAGAUUAUAACCUGGUUAAAAAUUAAAAGAGAAAUAACUAGGGUCCACUGGAUCAGAAAAAACAAGGAAGGGAGUGGGCCCCAGCGCGUGUAUACAUACGCUUAUUUGUUGGUAUUUAACUUUCUAUUUUAUGUGAAUAGUGUCUUGGUAGAAUCUUUAUAUGCAUCAGAAUAAUUGUGCCUGAUUUGCCAUGCAUAUGUGGUUUUGACGAAGUUUGUCAUUUGCUACCAACUGAGUUGAAGAAUUAAACAGUGUCUUACCAAAAAUCUGAGAUAUCGAAACUGUUGUUGGAAAAUUGGGUCUCUCGAUUUGCCCUUUACUUUUUCUUUUCAAUCUUUUUUAAUCUUCUUCAUUGUUUGCUUCCUGGAAUUUUGAAGUGGACUAUGCAGUCAAUGUGUUUGAUGAUAUGUCUGCCUAGUCUUAUUUAGUUUGUGUUGUUUAGUCAUUAACCAGAUUUCUAUACCUUUUUCUUUUGGUUUUGCUUGUUCUCUGUGUUUCAUGUUAUUUGUGUGCAUGUACAAUAUCUAUUUAUUAUACACUCUCCAAAAUACCUAUGCAUGAUCGGCGAGAUACAAUCAAAAAGCCUAAAGGGAGGGCAAAAAAAUUGUGUGCUAGCAGUAAUAAAGGAAUUCAAGGUAUAAAAUUGAUGUAGGGAGCAUUAAUUUGGACCAAUGCAAGCAGGAAUAACUUCUGCUAGCAUGUCAUAAUUGACUAAGAGACGUAUUCAAGCUAUAUGAUUAUGAUAUAUGGUUUGCCAACGAUUAGCGGUUUCACAAAGGUUUGAAUAGGACUUGGAGUGCACUGUCAGUGUGUAUUAUUGCUAAUGAGAAUGAAUGGGACGUUUAUGGGGUCGUCCUGCAGGUUGAUGCAAUUGUGAAGAUUAUUUGGUUACACAUGGCUACCAUGUGAGCUACAAGAUGAUGAUGAAAUGACUGUAAAAUAUGCUGAAGAGGCUCACCAAGUCAUGUUGAGGUAGUUUAGAAAGCAUCUCAAGUGUGUUUUUCUCAUUGUGAUUAUCUUCUGUUUUGUUUUAAAUAGGUUCUGAAUAUACACUUAAGUUCCUUACUGGGUUGUGUUUCUUGGUGUUGGUAACUUAACUCAUUUACUAUUAUGUACAUAUAAUUAACUUAGUCUUGCAUGUGUGGACCUUUAACACGUUUUGCAUAGAUCCUUACAUUCUUUCGCGUUUGAAACCAGCUUGACCAGAGAUGAUACGUACUUGACCUGGAUGGUUAUUGGUACAUGUAUAUACAACUUAUCCACUUACAUAAAACGAAUGCUUAUCAGAAUUCAAUAUACAAAUGCUAAUUUUAAAGUACUUCAAACUGUAAAACUAAAAUUUCAAGUGUGUUCUUUCUUUAAUGGAAAGUAAAAAGUACCUCUCAUUUCCUUCGUUUCUUCUUAUAGAGAUUUUUGAACAUUAAAACCAUAUACUGGGAAAAUGUGGCAUAUAAAGUAUUUGAAAUAUUAAGGUAUGUUUUUUAAAUUUUGUGAGUUGAAUUUACAGAAGGGAAAUUUGAAUAGCAAGAGGAAGGCGAAAAGAAACUAAAGAGAAUGAAGAAAGAUGUGAAAGGGUGUAUUUCUACUUCUUUGUCACUUGAAGUGGUCUAUUGCAAGCGAUAGUAAUUUUUUAUAUGUUAAUACCAUUAAUUAUGUUCUCUAUCUAGAAGUCAGUGAUUCAUUUGCAUUCAUUUUGCUUCUUCUAGACUGGUUUUUAAAGCUAAAAGAACAAAAAGCUGGCUCCUCCUGCUCAAAAGUUGAUGGAGAAUGUGGUUCCCUCGAAUUUCUUUUUAAUAGUUUCUUUACUUGAGAGGUUUCUUCCAUGCUAUCAUAUUUAGCACUUGGUUGACGUUUACAUAUAACUGGACUUCUGAACCGGUUUGUGGUACUAGCAUAAAGAAUUUUAGAUGUCCUGGCUUGCAACAUUAUGAGAUAUGAGCUUUCAGAGUCUCUUCGCUGGUAAGUUUUACUUAAUUCCAAUAACUAUUUCUCGGUGAGUUUUACUUAAUUCCUCUAACUUUUUCUCGGUGACCAUUUAAACCUUUAUUCCUACUUCUAUGGAGAUCAAUGAUGUAAAAUCUAUACAUGCAUGAAAUUAUUUUGUAUUUUUGCUCCAUUUGUCUUUUCAAAAUUUUCUUUUCAAUUCAGUGUGUAAGAUUUAGAUAUUGGAGAAUAGUAUUAUACGUAUCUGCUUUUUGCUCUUUCUUCGUGUUUUUUUUUUUUUCUUUUUCCUGGUAGGUUCUAUAUAUAGAUGUGGUAAUUUGUUCAAACACUUCUACGAAAAUUUUCACAUUAGAUGCACAAACUGCAAUAACAAUGACCACUGAUCACAUUGAAUUUCUAUCUGGGAAAAGGAGGGCGGAACUUUGAUCCCGCUAAUGUAUUUGACAAUAUACCAAAAAGGAUUGAAUAUUUUCUUAAAUUUUAGCUAAAAUUGAUGUUAUUUUCUCCUCCAAACUUUUUGUAGGAGCUUUAGUGGCGAUAACACAGAAAAUAAUUCAGGUGUACACCAAGACGGAUUGCUGGAGGAGGAAGAUCUGUGUGAGGCUCAAAAGAAAUUCAUUUGCUCAGCUGCCAUUACUACUUUGAGUAUGUGAGUGUCUCUAUUGUAUUUGGAGAACUCAGAUAGUUGUGCAUGACCACUACAAGCACAACUUAAGGCUCUACAACUUUCAAGAUGGAGGAGAAACAAAAAAUAGUCUGUGGUCGUUCAAUUCUCGGACUACCUAAGUUUAGGCAUUGUUGGUCUUUUGAACAUUUUAAUAAUAAAAUAUUAUAUUAGAGUGUUGCCUUGUUUAAGUGCAUUUUAAUGAUCCAUUUCCCACGUUCAUUAUGUUGGCACAAUGUGGCCAAUUCUUUUCUUCUUCCCACUAACUCAUUACUCACCCAUACUGAUCCUUUUCUAUGUCCUGUAACUCAUGCCAUAAUUCUUCCAUUAUCUACACAUAAUUACCCCAUUUUCAUCCAAUUCAAUUCAAGGAUGAAUUUCUUUACCUAUAAAUAGUGAGUCAUCCUUACCUUGUGGUGUGAAAAAUAUUGGAAAGUUCUUGACAAAGUGAGGAUAAAAGAGAGUUUUAUUUAGCCGAAGGAAGGUGUUCUUUUUGUAGAGCUUUGGACUCAACAUCUUGUCCAGAGUUUGUUGAGUCGUACAACGUUGACAGGUUGUUGUAUUCUGGAGGGAACAAAUCAGAGUUAUAUUGCUGGACCAGUGAAGAUUAUACCGCAGUGGGCUUGAAUCUCCUUAAAGAGAGCGAGAUAUCCGCCCCUCAGCCUGAUAUUAAUUUAUUCUUUUUUGUUCACUUUAUUUUUCAACUGUAAUUUAUUGUAAUUUGUGGUAUAUUCACCAACAGGCAUUACUGGUGUUAAUUUGUUUUUGGAUAUGUAAAAUGCAUGUAUGACCUAUCAAGGCAUUCUCCAAUGUAAACUUUGAGUACUUAUUCAAACAUAUUUUUGCAUCAAUAUAGCUGCAAAUUUUAUAGUUGUGUAUC